AAGCCAGCCAAUAAGUCUGCUUACCUGAAUGUGUUAGGAAAUUUAGAGAAAGCUGGCAAUAGUAAAGCCAUGUUAUGAGCCUUAAAGACAUCGAAGACAUUAAGGCCCCUGAAAAUAGCCAUAAGA